AUGACCAUGGCUAGUCCAUUCGGCGUCUUUGUUUGUCUACUCAUAGUGCUACCUCAAAUCCAGGCCGCUUCUAUCCCCUACAAUGGGACUGUACCUCUUCAGGGGUGUCAGAUCCCUUGUAUGACCGAAGUUAACUUGCACUUGUUCUUGCACCAAUUCGUCGAUGGACCAAACCAGCCAAACCGCAAUGAGGAAACCUUGCUCCAAACAAGUUUUCCUUUUGGGUUUGGGACGACGAUAGUUCAUGACUGGACUCUUACCGAGACAACAAAUUCCAAAGAUACAGUUGUUGCACGUGCACAAGGCGUGCAUGUCCAGGCUGGUUUAACCAAGGAUAAUAGAUGGUACAUGACUCAUAACAUAGAGUUUGAGCAAGGAAGGUUUGCAGGGUCUACCCUUCAGGUGAUUGGCAUAACAGCGGGUUUGGAAAGUGGCCAGUGGUCCAUUGUUGGUGGGACUGGUCAAUUCAUUAUGGCACAGGGUAUAAUAAGUUUCACAAAUCAUCCUGCCUCUACUUGGGAAGAUGGUAUUAAAGAACUUAAUAUCCGUGUACGCUACACGAAUCCGCAACCUGUAAGAAUAAUUCUCAAAAGUUUGUAUCCAAAUUGUAAUGUUCUACUUUUUGAAGGGAAACAAUAG
rnacentral:rRNA from 1 species